UAAAAAGACCUAUUUCUUUACCAAUCGGUAUCCAGAAGGUUCUAAAGAUUCAACGGAACACUAUUGAAAAAAAAUGUCACGAGUUACUUUAUUAUUAUCAAUAAUUUUAUUCAUUGGCUGCUUCUAUGUUGGGACAGUCGAAUCAUGUAAUGGCAAUUGGUGUUCCUGGGACUCACCAUGUGGCUGUAAUGGUUACGGUUGUAGCGCUUUUACCAACGGUAAUUGCGUACCAAAUGGUCAGCCAUAAGAAAGUAAACCUAAUUUUCUCGGAAAGUAAAGUUCUACAAAGUUUCAGUCAAAAUAAUACUGAAAAUUUGAAAUAGUAGACGUUUCUUACAACAAAACUGCGUCUCAUGGAUUUUGUAAUAUUGGUCUUAUUCAAUACUAAUAAAUAAAAUUAUGUUAAUU